GCUGAGGAUCGGGUGCUGCAAAAGCCCAGGUCCUCGGCGCGGCACUUUCGCAAAAGCAACAGUUCAGGUAGCUCCACUUCAGUGGCCCACUGGGCCUGCGGCGUCCAGGCACGAAGGACCGAUCAGACCCUGGCCCACUCCAGCUGGCCCCGGGACUACCGUGCCCUCCUGGCUUGGUCCCUUGACUUAGCGCCAGCCGGGCAGAGCUGAGCUGCAGCGUGGGUCCAGGGGGCGGAUCCUGCGCGCCACCCGCGCUGGCAUGGCGGACUGAUGAGGACUGCCUACUCAGGAAGCUUCAAGGGCGGCUUCAGCCUGACUAAAGUUGAGGAGCGGAGCAGGCCACCCGGGAGGGUCUACCGUGGACGGACAGGUCACCCCAGGAAUAAAGGGCAAAGCAAGAAAUGGAGACUGGAUGUGAGAUCUCCCAGCUUUGAGAGCCCCAAAGUCAGUGCUUACUUGGUGUCACCAGCCUGGCACUGGCUGCAAGAACCUGAAAACUGGAGCAACCCCAGCCUGAGGCUAGAAGGCCAAAGUCAAGCUGCAGCCUUGUUGUGACAGCUAAGGUUUGUUCUGGGAGAAUGGCCACUAAGAGUCAUGAAGUGCUCAGCUGCAGUGUCAUCUAGCUAUCAGAGGCACCAUGGUGUCACUGACCAUUGAAGCCUCAACUCUGACCAUUGGCAUAGGAAGCUCUGUUUCUGCAUGCCAUCCAAAGGCUCAUCUAGCAAGUCAUGUAGGCAUAGACUUACAAUGUAAUCAGUAGCUAACUCAUAAGCCAAUUCAAUCUUAUUUUAUACCCUGCUCAGCAUGGUGUAAAGCUGGCUUCCAGCAAACGACAAGACUAAAAAGCUUAUAUAUGUCAAGGAAAAGCUUGUGAAAGUAGUUUAUAUUAAAAAAAAUAUGUAUGGCCAGGCGUGGUGGUGCACGCCUAUAAUCCCAGCACU